rnacentral:rRNA from 1 species
AGAGUUUGAUCCUGGCUCAGGAUGAACGCUAAGGCUUAAUACAUGCAAGUCGAGGGGCAGCAUGGUGUAGCAAUACACUGAUGGCGACCGGCAAACGGGUGCGGAACACGUACAGAACCUUCCUUCGAGCGGGGAAUAGCCCAGAGAAAUUUGGAUUAAUACCCCAUAGUAUAACAGAGAGGCAUCUCUUUGUUAUUAAAGAUUUAUCACUUGAAGAUGGCUGUGCGGCUGAUUAGGUAGUUGGCGGGGUAACGGCCCACCAAGCCUGCGAUCAGUAACUGGUGUGAGAGCACGACCAGUCACACGGGCACUGAGACACGGGCCCGACUCCUACGGGAGGCAGCAGUAAGGAAUAUUGGUCAAUGGACGAAAGUCUGAACCAGCCAUGCCGCGUGAAGGAUGAAGGUCCUCUGGAUUGUAAACUUCUUUUAUAUGGGACGAAAAUGGGCCUUUCUAGGUCAACUGACGGUACCAUAAGAAUAAGCACCGGCUAACUCCGUGCCAGCAGCCGCGGUAAUACGGAGGGUGCAAGCGUUAUCCGGAUUCACUGGGUUUAAAGGGUGCGUAGGUGGGUUGGUAAGUCAGUGGUGAAAUCCCCGAGCUUAACUCGGGAACUGCCAUUGAUACUAUCAGUCUUGAAUAUCGUGGAGGUCAGCGGAAUAUGUCAUGUAGCGGUGAAAUGCUUAGAUAUGACAUAGAACACCAAUUGCGAAGGCAGCUGGCUACUCGAAUAUUGACACUGAGGCACGAAAGCGUGGGGAUCAAACAGGAUUAGAUACCCUGGUAGUCCACGCCCUAAACUAUGGAUACUCGACAUAUGCGAUACACUGUAUGUGUCUGAGCGAAAGCAUUAAGUAUCCCACCUGGGAAGUACGACCGCAAGGUUGAAACUCAAAGGAAUUGACGGGUCCGCACAGCGUGAGCAUGUGUUUAUCGAUGAUACGCGAGA